GCCUCGGUAGUCUAAUGAUUUAGGACGCUCGUACGGAAUACAAGAGAUUCGGGUUCGACUCCCGGCCGAGGUA
rfam:Trachymyrmex zeteki contig13496, whole genome shotgun sequence.